UACGAAGGGGGCUAGCGUUGUUCGGAAUUACUGGGCGUAAAGCGCGUGUAGGCGGGUCUUUAAGUCAGGGGUGAAAUGCCGAGGCUCAACCUUGGAACUGCCUUUGAUACUGGAGAUCUUGAGUCCGGGAGAGGUGAGUGGAACUGCGAGUGUAGAGGUGAAAUUCGUAGAUAUUCGCAAGAACACCAGUGGCGAAGGCGGCUCACUGGCCCGGAACUGACGCUGAGACGCGAAAGCGUGGGGAGCAAAC
rnacentral:rRNA from 1 species